ensembl:snRNA U6 U6 spliceosomal RNA
AUGCUUGCUUUGGCAGCACAUACGCUAAAAUUGGAAUCAUACAGAGAAGAUUAGCAUGGUCCCUUGCACGAGCAAAAGUCCAUCCCGAGCAUUUUUUUUUUCAAAUUUUU